rnacentral:piRNA from 1 species
UAGCAUUAAAUAAUAAAUGUCUGGCCAGGC